UAGGAAAUAGCUUCUGAACAAUAUUAGUGAAAAGAAAUAGGUUUUUAGAUAAAAUAAAAACAAAUAUGUAAAUAUUUAUUUACAUACAUAUGUAUAUUUGAGGGCAAUAGCGUGCUUAAAUAAGUGUAAAUGUUAUUUAGGGAGUGACACUAGUAUGGUUUAAAAAUUUUGAAAUUUUCGAUUUUUUUUAUUAUUUUAGGUAAGUAAAUGAAAGUACAUAACUUCAAUAACAUAAAAGUACUCAUAACUGGGUAAAUGAAAACAAUGACCAAGGUAGAGAAAUUAAGACCCGCAUUUGCAACAAAAGCAUUUAUAAAAAUGAAAAAAA
rnacentral:lncRNA from 1 species